GGUCGGUUUGGCCGGAUUUCACACAGGUGUUGCAUGGCUGUCGUCAGCUCGUGUCGUGAGAUGUUGGGUUAAGUCCCGCAACGAGCGUAACCCUCAUCCUUAGUUACCAUCAGAUAAUGCUGGGGACUUUAAGGAAACUGCUAGUGAUAAACUGGAGGAAGGUGGGGAUGAUGUCAAGUCAUCAUGGCCCUUAUGGAGUGGGCUACACACGUGCUACAAUGGUGGCUACAAUGGGCUGCAAAGUCGCGAGGCUGAGCUAAUCUCUUAAAAGCCAUCUCAGUUCGGAUUGUACUCUGCAACUCGAGUGCAUGAAGUUGGAAUCGCUAGUAAUCGUGGAUCAGCAUGCCACGGUGAAUACGUUCUCGGGUCUUGUACACACUGCCCGUCACGCCAUGG
rnacentral:rRNA from 1 species